GGGGUGUGGCGGAACGGUAUACGCAGCAGUUUAGAAAACUGUGGGUCUCACGGCCAUACGGGUUCGAAUCCCGUCACCCCCC
rnacentral:tRNA from 1 species